rnacentral:lncRNA from 1 species
AAAAACCUGACAUUAGCUCUCCUUUGAAGACAUUAAAGAAAAGCAAAAACAAAACAAAACAAAAACAAACGAACAAACAAGAAAACAAAACCAAACAAUUUCAUAAUGAAGUGAAAAGAUCACUGGAUUGGAAUUCAGGAGUCUAGUAAGGCCACUUACUGGCUGUGAGACUUAGUCAGGUCACUUACCUCUGGUCCUCAGUCUCACUUUGAUUUUCAGUAGUUAUUGAUUACUACUGAAAAUCAAAGUGAGAAAAUUACUACUAUUGAUUCAGUAGUUAUUGAUUAAUAUCUCUUCCAGCACCACAUUACAUAGCAUGUAUAUGUGUGUGUGUGUGUGUGUGUGUGUGUGUGUGAGAGAGAGAGAGAGAGAGUGAAGAGAGAGAGAAGAGAGGCAGGCUAUCAAAUAGAAUAGCUUUUGGGGGGAAAUUUGUAUAAGGCAAGACAGAAACAUACAUUAUUGGGGACUGAGGAAAGCCUUUCACUUUAAUUUCCAUUUCAAUCAUUGAAGCUCAUAGUGACCAUGCCCAGUGAAAAAGCCAUGCCAUUUUCUUCUUCUGGGAACUGAGAUAGAUCCCUCAGAAGUAUCACAAUCAAUAUAUACAUAUGUACCUAUGAUCUCCAUUCAGUUGCUAGAACGGCUGUGUGCCUUCCAUCGAAGCCUCUCUUCUGGCUUCUGAGGUGGGGGGCAACUUCAACAAAUCAGGUUCCAAUGGGGAGAGAGAGGGAGCUCUUCCUUUGCUCCUGGGGCACUGGAAGCAUGUGGUAGAGGUGAGGAGGGAGGAAUCAUGGUGGGGGCAGGAGGUGGUGUUCCAGGGACAUGGGAGGAAACUGCAGUAUUGCACUCCUACUUGAUGGGCUUGGCCAUUCAUCAGCCAUCACCAGCUGUCAACAUGAACUGAGAACCUCCUGUGUGCAGGCUAGGCACUGGGGAUGCCUCUGGAACCCCACGCAGUCUUUGCUGUCAAGGAGCUCACUGUCUCAUCAAAAGAGAAUAGAUAGAGUCUGUUUUCCCUUUAGCCUGAACAAGCACAUUUAGGCCCUAAGGGCUCAGAGGGCUCUCCUUCCCAAUCUUCCUACCCCCUUGCCCAAGGUUUGGCUAGACACAGUCAGUAAUAAAAAGGAUGCUUUUCAGACCAAUGGAUGCAGCUUUGCAUGUGCUUUGCCCAGUAUGCAGAUGGCUGCCAGGCCGCCCUAUUGAGGAUUCUGUUUGCGGGAAUGUGCUCUGUUUCCUUAACUGUAGGCUUUGGGGACCAGAAGUGGCCAGGGGCUUAAAGGCAGCUGAAGUGAAGCAGCUCUUCUGCACACUCAUCAGCAUCAGGCUUCAAGCUGCAGUGAGGCAUGGACCUGAGAUAACUGCAGUGCCCCAGGUGGGAUGCUGCAGUGUCCUUGGGAAUACCCGUGGCUGCUGCAGGACACACUGAGCACAGUGGGCCACGGUUGGGUCUGAGCUGCCAGCUGCAGGGUGAGCUGCUGACUCACUGCUGCAGCCAUGAGACCUUUAGCCACUGGAACAGCACGGGGAAUUCUUUCUUACUUUAAAGGAGUAUGUGAUGGAGAGGAGGUCAAUGGGAUGAUAAGUCAAAGUGUGAGCCUAAAAAGCAGCUAUAAAAAUUUUCAUAGAAUUCUUGGGCAGAAAUGUUUUUAUCAGCCUUGGAAGAAUGCAGUCAUAUUGGGGAAGUUAUUCAGUCAGUUGGUCAGCAUGUAUUAAACACCCAUCGUGUGCCUAGCGUUUAUUGUGUGCUUAGAUUAUAAGGGGUAAAUGAGGAGUAGAAGAUGUUCCUUGCCCCACUUGGGGAUUAUGAUAAGACUGGCACUUAGAGAGCCUUAUUCUGUGCCAGACACAGCAUUUGACGUGCGCUAGUUUAUGUAAUCUCACAGUAACACCAUAAAAAUUAUAGGUAUUUUAAUUUAUUCUACUGUAAGUUGAGAAGUUAGGAUUUGAACCAUGUCAGUUCAAAGUCAGAGCUCUUUACCACCAUGCAAUUAUGUUGUUCGAGAAGUGCACACAACUGGAGAACAAUACAGGGGGAUUCAUGGUUAAGUGCUAAAUCAUAUUUAUAAUACAAGCAUUUAUGAUGAGUCCAGAAUAAAUCCCUAUCAAUCUGCAACCCUGGGUCAGCUGAAGUGUGUAGAUUUGCUUAUGUUUAAGCAAAUAUUGAGCCUGCAGAGCGAGUUUUUGAGAAGGUGGAGGGUCAGAAUGAGCACUCGUAAGGUCAGGGAGUGGCAGCUGUGGGUACCAUCAAAGGGAUAGCAUCAGGUGACCUGCUGUGAGUCUCAGGCCACUGCGUGCCCAGAAUGGUCCUAAUUGUUGGGGAAAACACAGAAAGAUAAUUACACAUAUUUUUGCCCUUUGAGAAUUCAGUCUGGUUGGAUUUACCUGAUCAAUUAAUCAACUUAGGAACUAUUAGCAAAAUAAGAGGAGAAUGAGGUUCAUAAGGAGUUGAAGAGGGCCCAUGACCAUCCCAUUCAGUCUUUAGUGGGUCAAUAUUUGUGUUAGCAAGGAGACCAUGAGCCUUUUAACAGAUGAUACUGACAAAGACUCAAAAGCUCUUAAAUGUUCCUGUGGAGAUACUGACUAUACAUCUGUGGCAGAGCUGACCAGAGCUACCUAAGCCCUCUGGUUUCAAGGAUGAGAGAUAAUCCUGGGCAGCUGUCAGAGAAAAAUCUCUCAUGAAACUGAUGAAAUGCCUUUGUCUUUUGGCUGGUAGAGCUGAUUUUUCCCGGGACACAAAUGUGCCAACUCUCUGACCCAAAGCCCAGUGUCUCAUACACUUCUCGGGCACUCAUUUGGGCUCAUGGAUUUAGGUUACAGUAUCUCCUUGUCUCUCUUUCUCUAGUAUUUAGCUAAGGUAGUGACUGAUACUAUUGACCUGAUCCUACUUCUGCUUUGCCCAUAGUUAUUAAUUUUUUUUGAUCCCUUUCAGGGACUCUAUAGACUUUAGCUGGCUGGCUGAGUUCUGAUGGGGGUUUUAGAAGCUUAAACAUUGUGAGGAAGAUGAAGAAAUGAAUAAGAUCAGGUAAAGAUACCUUCCUGGACAAUAUCCUUUGGCGGAAUGCCAGAAAAGUAACAGAUGAGUUCAGGAAGACUUCAAGGGCAGCAUCUGAGACCCAGACCAAAUCAGGGUCCCGGAAACCAUGGAGAAAGCAAUUUCCGUGACAGCCAAGCAGAAGGAAACUUAUCAGCUCAUACCUGAAAGAAGUUGCUCUGGCACUGUUUUAUGGGAAUGGAAUUAUUAAGAAGGUGGGGGUGGGUGGUUAUGGGCAAUGAAGAAUAGAUCAAGCAAAAAAAUUUGAGUUGAGGCAGGGAUAACCAGAGAAGACUGAUAACCAUGUUGACUAGUCCCAAGCUAAAGAGAAUGCUGAGGCUUAAAUUACAAUGAUCAAGUUAUGUUUCUUCUAUUGAAAGGUCUCUAUUCAGAGAAAAUAAAGUUGUUUUUGAACUGGGAGUACCUGGCUGUACCUGUUCUGUACUGAAAGAGACCGAGCGAAGUGGAUUAACACAGAAGAAUAAAGGGGAGAAGCCAGGGCCCAAUAACCUGUUAUUUCAAAGUAAAACCACCGCCUUUGCGUGGUGGUGAUGUAGGAUUCUUUCUGUGUGGUUAGACUCACUGAGCAGCUUUCUCUUUGGGGCUCUCCUAGGCCUAUUUCCUGGUGCAACCAGUGACUGAGUGAGACCCAUAUUCCGUGGUAGCUAAGAAAUGGCUCUGGGCAUGGGCUGGAAAUAGAGAUACUUAGAAAAUUGUUAAUUUCUCAGCUGGGGGUGGUGGCACAUGCCUGUGAUCCUAGCAUUUUGGGAGACUGAGGUGGGCAGAUUGCUUGAGGUCAGGAGCUCCAGCCAGCCUGGCCAACAUGGUGAAACCCCAUCUCUACUGAAAAUACAGAAAUUAGCCAAGUGUGGUGGUGCAUGUCUGUAAUCCCAGCUACAUGGGAGGCUGAGGCAGGAGAAUUGCUUGAACCCAGGAGGCGGAGGUUGCACUGAGCUGAGAUCGCACCACUGCAUUCCAGCCUGGGCGACAGAGUGAGAGUCUGUCUCAAAAAAAAAAAAAAAAAAAAAAAAAAAAAAGAAAGAACGAAAAAGAAAAUUGUUAAUUUCUUCAAUGCAGGGUUGUGUCUCACUCAUCUCUUUAUCCUCGGCACCUAAGAAAGUUCCCAACACAUCAUAGUAAGCCAGUUAUAUAUGUUUAUUGAGCCAUUUUAAAUGAUUUGUGCUUUGGGAUUGGCUAUGUGGAAGAUAAAAGAUCUAAAAGACAGUGUCCUGUUUCUGUUGCCUCAGAAGUAUUUCUCAGAUAAUAAAAUAUUGGCAGAUUUCUGAUGAUUCUCAAGAAAACUGGGAAAUAGAGCUGAAAAACAUGGAGGAUAAUAAGUUAUCCCAGGAAUAGAAGAAAAGAAAGUCCCUUCAAGAGAACUUAUUGAGGUUUUGGUUUCUCCAAGGAUAGUGUGGUAUAAGGAGGCAAAUUGUUGGAGCAAUGUUUGCAGGAAAUGUUUUCUCAACAUAUGAGGUGUUUGUCAGGUGGAUGAGGACAGUGUGUGCAGGACGGAUGUGGUACAAAAAAGCCCAGCCAGUGAACUUCCUGGGGUGGCUGUUGGUGGGUUGGUUGGGAGUUGGUGUAGCUGGGGCACAGGUGAAAGGUGGAGAUGAGACUAAAAGGGCUACAGCUGUGGGUAGUAUGAUUCCAUUUUCCUUCUAGAAAGAUGACCCUGGUGGGGUGGCUCACGCCUGUAAUCCCAGCACUUUGAGAGGCUGAGGCAGGCGGAUCAGGAGGUCAAGAGAACUAGACCAUCCUGGCCAACAUGGUGAAACCCCGUCUCUACUAAAAAUAGAAAAAUUAGCUAGGCGUGGUGGCAUGCGCCUGUAGUCCCAGCUACUUAGGAGGCUGAGGCAGGAGAAUCACUUGAACCCAGGAGGUGGAGGUUGCAAUGAGCCUAGAUAGUGCCAUUGCACUCCAGCUGGGGUGACAGAGUGAGACUCCGUCUCAAAAAAAAGAAAAUACCAGAAGGAGGCCAGGCGUGGUGGCUCACAUGGCUCACAUCGGUAGGCAGAGGUUGCAGUGAGCCGAGAUCGCACCACUGCACUCCAGCCUGGGCGACAGAGCGAGACUCCAUCUCCAAACAAACAAACAAACAAACAAAAAAACAAAAAAAAAAAAAAGAAGAAAGAAAGACAACCCUGGGCAUAGUGUAGAAGGAGAGGGGAAAGGAAUGAUGGGGAGGCAGCAGGUCCAGGUAGGAUUCAACUGCAAUAACCUGAGUGAUAGCUGAUAAGAACCUGAGCUGGCACAGUGUCAGCCGGCGGGAGAGGAGUCAAACUGGGAAAUGAGAGGAGUUGCACCAGACUGAGCUUAUCAGUUGUCUGGGGUUGGGGAUGACAGAGCAGAAAGAGUCUGGGAAGGUGAACGUUCAGGGUUUGAGGUCCUGCUGCAAGGGACAACAUUCUUUGAAAUGUUUUUAUCUUAAACAUUCAUGCAAAUUUCUAUUUUUUACUUAAAAAUGUACCAAUGUUUGCAUUUCUAUGAAAAUAAUAUGUAAAACAAGUUUACAGACCGAACUUUCCUUUCCAAAGCUUCAGAGAAAAUGGACAUGUAAGAAAACUGCACCAUGGUCGUGUGUGGUUUCUGAUGCUCCCAGCAAAUACCCCUUUUGAAAAGAGUGGAAGUCUUCCAUGAUCUGGCAACAUCUCCCCUUGUAACCUUCGUUUUGGCCAAACUGAUCUAUUUACGGUUCCCUUAGCCUUCUCAUGAAUAUUCUACUUCUCUGGUUUUGUAUGUUUCAGAUUUUCUGGUGCUUCUCCAGGCCAUCUUCCAGGGCCAACUGAGAUACUGCAUCCUCCCUCCAGCCUUCCAGAACUAUGAACCCCUUCUAGCUCCUUUCUCUGAAAUUCAGCAGACUUUUUCUGCGCUGCUUUUAUAAUUUAACGGUAGAUAAAAUCAUAUGUAAAAAGAGCUAAAAAAAGUAUUGUGACUAUUAUUAUUAUAGUGCUUCAAGGUUGUAUGUUUUGUUUUUUUUCAAGCAGAUUUUAAGUCCUAGAAGUCAGGGACUAUGUCACUGAUGUCUUUGUUGCUGCACUCAGCUCAACAUAUACUUUUUGGAUAGAUGCAGUCAUUCUGUAUAUAGAAAACAAACUUAUAUUCAAGUAGAGGGAACAGAUGGUAACUUUUUUCCCCCAGAAUAUAUUUGUGACUUUAAGUUGAAUGUUUAUUCCCAUUAAAUGAACUAUUUUAUUUCCUCUGUAAAGCAAAUUUAAAUAUCAGAAAAUCAGGAUAUCUCCUCUCUUUAUGUUUUCUCCUUUGAUGUGACAAGUAAAAGGUAGGGCUUGGGUCACCUUAGGUGGCUGUGAUUCUGAUAUUGUGCAAGUGCAAGCACUUUUUCUGUCAAGCCUGCCUGAGCCCAGUUCUUAGCUUUUAGGCAGACAUUUCCCUGCUUGCAAAAUCAAAAGCUAAGAGAAGUAUGAUGGGAAAUUGCUUUCUAAAGACACCCAUGCAGAAGCUUAUGGCUUUCCCUGAAGGCCUCCUCUCCUUACACUAGGUUGGGUAUUUCCACCAUGUCACACUUUAUUGUUAGUGUUGAUGGCCUGGGCUCCCCAGUAGUGGAAGCUCCCUGGGGGGAUGUCUGUGUCUUAUAAGGCAAAAUCUCAUCAAAGAGUGUAUUGGAGUUAUUUCUUGAGAGAACAUAUGAAGAGAAAACUGGAAAAUGUACCAGAAGGAGGUAGAAGGAGACAAAGAUCAUUUGAUACUUUUUCAGUCCACUAAAGGUCUGAAUCUGGUAAUUAUGGGUUGAGAAAAUGGAGAGAAAAAAUGCAGAGAAUUUCUGGUGAAGCUGUUGAUACAAAUAGAAAGGCUGAAUGAGGGAAGUCAAAUAAAAAAAAGCAGAAAAGUAUGGAACAAAUGGAUGAGGCUAUGGUUUGGAGGAAUCAAAACAUAGUAUAUCGGUUAAGUGACUUUAGAUUCAGAGAAGAAAAUGGAGUCUUUUGAGUUCACUUCAUCUCCUUUCAUAUCAUCCUGGAACCACGUUCCAACUGGCAAGGCACUAGUUAUCUACUGGAUCUCUAAAUCCUUUAGGAGGUGAAUUUAACCUCCAAAAUGUGCUUUGAAUUGGUGGUUUCUUCACCAUCAUUAUUAUCGACGUCCUAUGGCUGCCGUAACAAUUUACCACACACUUAGUGGCUGAAAACAAUACAAAUGUAUUAUCUUAUAGUUGUGUAGGCUAGAAGUCUGAUAUGGAUCUCAUUGGGCUAAAAUGAAGGACUUGGUAGGGCUGCAUUUCUUUCUGGAGGCUUAGGAGAGAGAAUCUGCUUCUUUGCCUUUUCCAGUUUUCAAAGGCCAUCUGCAGUCCUUGACUUGUGGCCCCUUCCCCUAUCUCCACAUCCAGCAAUGUUACAGCUCUCUGCCUGGCUUUCAUGAUCACAUUUCUUUCUCUGAUCCUUUUUUUCUGCCUCCCUUUUCCACUCUUAAGGACCCUUUGAUUACUUUAGGCCACCCAGAUGGUCCAGAACAGUCUCCAUAUUUUAAGGGUCCUUAAGUAGGGAAGAAUCAGAGUGGGAAACUGCUGGGUAGUGUUCCAUCAAGGCAGCUAUGGGAAUGUUCGAGCCAAAGGAAGGUGGCUGAAGACAUGGAGGGCAGGGGGCCAGUGUACAGGGAAGACCUAGUGGGGUCAGGACUGGUGUCAAGGCCAAGGUCAGUUAUUGCACCCAGUCAUGUAUUCCUCAUUGAUGUCUUUAUACAAAAUGACAAAUGUAUACAAAAUGACAUGCUGGAAGCCAGCCAGCAUUAGGAUACAGGGACUUAUGCCCCCUUUUCUGUGUUCUACUAGUUUGCUAGACUUUCAUCUUUAUUUUUGAUAUUUUUCCCCUCAAAUUACUGGAGAGACUUUGAAAUAUGCAAGAGGUAUCUCUUUUUUCAAAUUCCAUCUCUUGCCAUCAGCAUGAGGACCACUUUUGGCUUAUGGACAGUCUGUAAGACAUGUGGCAUGUGCUGGUGACUUUCUUGUCCUUGCAAAGUCACAGGAAUGUCACUGCCUGGAUAGGCUUAGGAAUCACAGCUCUGGCUUAAUACCUGCUCUUUCUCUCCAUCUAUCUGGGGAUGUUUGAUGACUUUUCAGUGUAGAAUGCAAACAAAUGAAGAUGUAUCUAAGAUGCCUUUGUUUAGCAACUGGCUGGCUAUUUUAUCAUGGCUUUAAAUUUAGCUUUUUACUAAUGACUAUGUGCAUUUGGGAGGAAAGGCUGGCUUUGCAGUCCCGAUAAGUUAAAGAUCUUAAGUAGUUUAGACACACGCCUUUGCUCGAGGAAAUUCACAGAAACCACCACUGCUAUACAUCUUAUUGAAUGACUCACAAGUUCUCCUUCACUGAUUAAUCCUUUUCCUCAUCCCUUCCUACCCUCCCAUUUGCCCUAAGAACAAAGAGCUUGUAAACCAAUAAAUUGGGUGGAGGCUGAGAGCUCGGGGGUGAUUGUCUUGGCUAUACAGGGUCUCCUUUGAUUCCAUAUGAAAUUUAAAAUUUUUUUUCUAAUUCUGUGAAGAAUGUCAAUGGGAGUUUGAUGGGAAUAGCAUUGAAUCUAUACAUUACUUUGGGCCGUAUGGCCAUUUUCAUGACAUUGAUUCUUCCUAUCCAUGAGGAUGGAAUGUUUUUCCAUUUGUUUGUGUCCUCUCUUAUUUCCUUGAGCAAUGGUUUGUAGUUCUCCUUGAAGAGGUCCUUCACUUCCCUUGUUAGCUGUAUUCCUAGGUAUUUUAUUCUGUUUGUAGCAAUUGUGACCUGACCUUUCUCUCUGGCUGCCCUUAACAGUUUUUCCUUCAUUUCUACCUUGGAGAAUCUGAUAAUUACGUUUCUUGGGGUUGAACUUCUCGUGGAGUAUCUUAACGGUGUUAUCUGUAUUUCCUGAAUUUGCAUGUUGGCCUGUCUUGCUAGGUUGGGGAAGUUCUCCUGGAAAAUAUCCUGAAGUGUGUUUUCCAGCUUGUUUCCAUUCACCUCAUCUCCUUUGGUACUCUAAUCAAUCAUAGGUUUGGUCUUUUUAUGAAGUCCCAUAUUUCCUGGAGGCUUUGUUCACAUUUCAUUCUUCAUUCUUUUCAUUCCUUUUUUCUCCAUUGUCUGCAUGUCUUAUUUCAGUAAGGUGGUCUUCAAACUCUUAUAUCCUUUCUUCUGCUUGAUUGAUUUGGCUGUUGAUACUUGUGCAUGGUUCACUCGUGCUGUGUUUUUCAGCUCCAUCAGGUCGUUUAUGUUCCUCUCUAAACUGGUUAUUCUAGCUAGCCAUUUAUCUAACCUUUUAUCAAGAUUCUUAGCUUCUUUGCAUUGGGUUAGAACAUGGGUCAAGGAUAAGAGAGGAGAAAGAAGAGAAAGAGUGAAACGAGGGAAGGCAGCAUAAGUGUGGUUAUAUCUAGUUUCCCUCUUGGGUGCUGGGCUGCUGGGAAAACUGGCACUUCCAGUGAAUUCCUUCAGGGUUAUGGAGACUGAAUAUCUUAAUUAAGUGAGGUUGCCUUUUAAAAAGCCACUUGGAUCCAUUUUUAUUGUGGUCUAUAGUGCUUAUUUCUUUGGUGUACAAAUCUGAUGGGAGAAGAUCCAUCAAAAGAAAGGGGAGGGGAUAGAGGAGGAAAGAAUGAGAGAUGGGGCACUCUUGGUAGUGUGUCAACCAAGCCCUGGCUGCCUCAGGCCAUUCUCCUUGCUUUGUCCCUUGGUACGCUUUAAACUUAACAGUUCCCUAAGACUGGUUCCAGAGCAAGGUCCUGCUUCCCUGCUAUGUCUCAUAGAGAAGUGAAACCUCUCUUGCUGCUUUUCACAGGGGAGAGAGACUGGGUCAAAAACAAAACAGAGAAUCAUACAAAGCUGUUCUUUAAUUCCUGACUCCCUCAUAAGACAGACUAGAAACUCUGGUGAAGUCUGUGAUUUGCUCUUAUCCAUGAGGAUGAGACUCUCUCAACUCCCUUCUUAAAUACAGGCUGGAGGAUAAAACUGAGGUCCUGCAGUUUGCAUAAUAGCUGACAUCUAUUGAGAAUCUACUGACUACUAGGAACUAUAUAAGUUGUGUACAUACUAUUUUGUUUACUUUUUCAAUUAACCACAUGAGAUAAAUACUAUUGUAGUUGCAUUUUGUCAAUACAGUAACUGAGCCUUAAAGAGAUUAAGUUACAUGUUCAAAAUCCCCUAGCCAUGAACUGAUGGACUAGGGUUUAUAUCUUAUUCGAAAAACAAUAGUAUUAACUAAUGGUUACUCAAAAAGGAUGUCUUUUAAAUUCCAGUGAGAAGUUUGCAUCUUUGAGAAUGUUAGGAUGGAUAAACAUCCAUGUCACUGCUUCUCAAUAAAAAGAACAAUUAUAGUAUAUUUUCUUAUUGCUAGUCUAACCGGAAAUAGUCUGGUUUAUUACUUAUAAACUAGUUCUUGGAACUAAGACCGUAAACCUUGACUUGGUGCAGGAAAUGGUGUGGUUUUACAUGCUCAGGAAACAAUGACCAGAGUAAAAUAUUUGACAAAUUUUAUGCUCUGAUUGAGAAUUGGAGGCCUGGGGGAAUACCUGAAUGACUUGCAUGCUGCUAAAUAUUUUUCCACAAUAUUUUUUUAAUGGUUGCACGGUAUUCCAUUGUAUGGUUGCAAUAUAAUUUAGUUGCAUGACAUCUGGGCAAUAGGGGAGUUUCUAAGAGCAGGAGGAAUUUUAGAAAAGAGAAACUGAGUAUUAGGUGUUCAGUAGCCAGCUUUUCCAGCUUUAGGAAUUUUCUUGGGACUAGCUCUGUCCAAGGGGUAAACUAUACAUGCUGUAUACUUUUCCAGGCAGGAAGGGGAAAGACCCAUGCUUCUUAGUCUAGCUGCCUCCCAGAAACCUUUGCAAAGGUCAUCCAACUCAAUCUUGUAGUCUUGGAGAAGGCCAAUUCAGAUUCCAGUUCUCUUAAACCAGCUACAGAAAACAUAACUUUUGUAACUCAGUAGGGUCAGGCUUAUUUGUAACUUAGAUUGGCUGAAGCCUUUAUUAAGUGAAAAAAGAUGGAAGCAUAACAACAUUCCUAACUGAAUGCCAUUCAUGGAAAGAAUGUCUGGAAUGGAAUCCUCUGUCUUGGCUAAAUUUGAAAGAAUAGCAUAUCCUGAAAAGAAGCAUGAAGGAGAUUAUCUGAUCUUACCUACUGGCUAAGGAUCAAAAUGUUAAGAAAAGCACACGAGAUCAUCUUUCUGAAGCAGGAAGAGUCUACGAAUCAGACAUACUGAAUUAAGUCAUGAACCAGAGUCAUGUCCUAGAAUUGUGUCCAUGAACCUGGCCAAGACAUUUCCUAUUCCAUUUCAGGUCCAAGAUUCUCAUAGUGCAGAGCUACCUUUCGAAACAUUUAAUCACAGAUCUUCUUUCAGACUGGACAGUGAUCAUGGCAUCUUUCAGGCAGAAAGAGGAGGGUUAACUUGGCUGGGAGAGGAGAUAAGGAAAUGUCUAACCAGUCUUCUCACCACCAAAAAACAAAACAAAACAAUUCAAAACGAAACAAAACAAAAAAACUAUUAGCACCUGGCACAGCACCUGUCAUAUAGUAAUAGAAGCUUAAUACAUAUUUUGUGAAUAAAUAUAAAAAUUAGAGGUUGAAGUAGAACUGCGGACUGUCCAUUACCAUGCUUGAUACUUCAGUAGAAUGUGUGCCAAAGAAUAUGGUCCCAGCUCCUCUCUGGGCUUAGGUCUGGUCUCUCCUCAGCUUCUCAGCUUUAUAGGUCAGGAAUUUCCCAAGCUAUCAUUUUACUUUGAUCCUCUCAGGAACAGAAGUGAGAAAGAAGAGAUGAGGUAUAGCUAGAAAUUUAUGAGAAGGGAUGGGAAGGAGAAAAUAGUGCUGACUUGACCCUGUACUGACAGGGACACCUGCCCAUCAGCAAUGCUUUGAGCUGCAAGUAGAAGCUGGGGGGUCAGGGAGAGGCUAUGUUGGUGGCUAUAGAGUAACAGAUGACCUGGUUGACCUUGAUUAUUGACCAACCUAUUACAAUGAAAUGGUUGAGGGAUUACAAGUACAGACACAAAUAAUUUUAUAUGUAAUAAGUAAAUUAAUACUUUAUAUGUUUUUUUUUCUGGGAAGAUGGAAAGCUGUUUGUUAGAGCAAAGAAUUCUAAUAGUGCCACAUGUGUAAUAAAAAUCAGAUUCAUGACCAUGACCUUCAGUUCCUGCUUUAUGUUGGAUUAGCCUUGGGCAAGUCAAAUAAACUAGAGAAAAGAGUAUUUCCAUUUUCCUCUGUAAAACCAAGUUGGCCCAAACGUAUAUUCCUCCUUUUAUAUGAUUAGUGUGAGCGUUCAAGCUGGGUGGAGGCAGGGCAUCUCUUUUGUAAUAAGUUGUCACCAGAAAGUCUCAUUUUGUUGAGAAGAGAAACCCCUGCAAUUGAUGGGACUUGGAACAAACUUUCUGGGACACUAAAUGGCAGGAGAGCCAGUGUUUUAAGAAGUCAUUUCUGUCCUGGUUUGUUAUUAAACUGUGGAGCUUCCUUUUCAAGAUAGUAAAGAUAGUAAUAAGUCAUGUAAUACAAAUUGAUUCAAAAGGAGACUUAGGGGCUUACAGAAUCCCAAGACAGACAAGCAUUAAAAGUGCCUGCGGAUCCGGCAGGAAGCCAAUCCCCAGAUGUUACUUUUGGCUGGGAAGGGUGAGGAGGAAGCGGUGGCCUUGCUCUGGCUUAAUCUGCAGUGACAACCGUGGCGAGCAUGAGUCACUCUGGGCCUCAUCUGAACCCUAUCUUGGCAUCUUGCUUGUGGAGAGGCAGUGCUGUAUAAUGGUUCAGAGCAGGCUUUGGAACAGACUGCCUGGACAAGCUACUUAAUUGCUCUGUUCCUUAGUUUCCUCAUCUGCAAAGUAGGGGGAAAUAGCAGCACCUACCUCGCUGGGUUGUUGUGAAGUUUAAAUAAAUUAAUACAUGUGAAGUACUUAGAACAUUGCCUGGCACAUUUGCUAGAUGGUCAAUAAAUGUUGCAUAUUAUUUUAUAUGGGCUAUUUCUUCAGUUCAGUAUUCUGAGUCUCUAAUCUGAGAAACUUGGUGGCACAAAUAUUUCCUAGUUAGGCAAGCACUUUGUAAUGUUUUUAAUUUGUAAUAGAAAACAAGGAUAACUUAGCAAAUGAAUACCCACAAGCAAACACUGCACUUCAUUUUAACCAGACAAUCCAAUAUCUUUCCCUAGCACACUUUUGUUCUGAGAGGGAAAUCAAAGAAACUAGAGCUUUCUUUCUUUCUCUUAAUCCUGCAUACCUUCCACUGUAGGUACCAACUGUCAUUUAAUAAAAGCUCUGCAGCAGAAGAGAAAACAGGCAGAGCAAACAGCCCUAAUAAUUUACUUAUUUUUGAUUCACAUCCUAAUAAUAAUGGUCACCAUGGUUUAGAGUAAUAUUGAAUUCCUAUUACUUGCCACCUGUGCUGUAGUUAAAAUGUCUUUUCUAACACUGAUACCCCCUUAUGUCCCAUUUCCUCCACGAUAAGAAUUGUUAUCUAUAUUUUUACCCAUUUCAGCAAACAUUUGUGGAAUAUCUUUCAUGUGCCAGGCCCCUGCUCCAUCAUAGUAAGAUGUGCUUACUUCCCUUUCACCUUCUGCCAUGAUUGUAAGUUUCCCGAGGCUUCCCAGCCAUACUUCUUGCACAGCCUGUGGAACUGUGAGUCAAUUAAACCUCUUUUCUCAUAGAUUAGCCAGUCUCAGGUAGUUCUUUAUAGCAGUGUGAGAACAGACUAAUACAGAAGGGUAUGGGAGCACUUAGCCAUAGCAGAUAAUAAAACAUGAAAACAAAAGCAAACCAAUGGAGCAAAAAAAAAAAGUCUAGAAAUAAACCCAGAAAUACAUGGACAUUAUUCAUAAAGAGAUGGCAUUUCAAAUUGGUGGGGAGAAAUAUGGAUAAGUAAAUCCAUAGCCGAUGGGUGUGAUGACUUAUGCCUGUAAUCCCAGCACUUUGGGAGGCCAAGGCAGGUGGAUCACUUGAGGUUGAGAGUUUGAGACCAGCCUGGCCAACAUGGUGUAACCCCGUCUAUAUUAAAAAUAGAAAAAUUAACCGGGCGUGGCAACAGGCGCCUGUAAUCCCAGCUACUUGGGAGGUACUUGGGAGGCUCAAGCACCAGAAUUGCUUGAACCCAGAAGGCAAAAGUUACAGCGAGCCAAGAUUCUGUCACUGCACUUCAGCAACAGAGCGAGGGCAACAGAGCGAGACUGUCUAAAAAAGAAAAAUAAAGAGAAAGAAAGAAAGAAAAAAAAAAAGGUAAAUCCAUUGUCCUUCUUGUCUCCUAGCUUUGACUGCAGAAAGGAGGUUCUUCUUUGUCUAUUUAUCCCCCUUGGUCACAUUUGAAGUUGUGUAUGAGAACAUGAGCUCCCGGGGGCCUGCACGGUUUUCCUGGUCUGUUUUAUGCUGCUGCUGAUUUGAUUUCAAGGUCCACAUAACUUCUCCUUAUAGUCCAUUGGUCAGCUACAUCUACCUGCAAGGGUGGUUGGAAAUGUAGUUGCUAGAUAAGUGACCAUGUGCCCAGAAAGAAGGAAAAGUGGAUUCGGGGGUGGGGGUGGGGGGUCGGGGGGGGCGUUAGCACUCUUUCCCCUUCAUUCAUUCCAUAAAUAUUUCAACACCUAAUGUGUGCCAAGGACAUUCUAAGCAUUAUGGAUACAAUGAACAAAACAGAUAAAAGAUCCAUGCUCUUAUAUUCACCCUUAGAGCAGCAAUGGGGGAACACCAAAAACAAUAAAAAAUAUCAGACAGCAAUAAAUGAAGUGGCCAAAAUAAAGCAGACAAGCAGUGUGGGGAGUUCAGGGAAACGGGGUGGUGUGUUGCAAUCUUAAAUAGGGUGGUAAAGGAAGGUGCUCUGGGAAGGUAAUAUUUGAGGGAAGACCUGAAGGAGGUGAGGGAGUAAACGUGCAGAUGCAUGUGAGAGAAGAGGGAUCCAGGCAGUGCUAAGAGGAUGUGCAAACAUCCCAGGCAGGAUCAUGCUUGCAGUGAGAGGAAGCUCGUAGUUGAGGAAGAACAAGGAGGUUAUUAUGAAGGGAGCAGAACAAGCCAGGGCGUGAGUAGUAGGAAAGGAAGUCAGAUAGAUAGCGGAAGGGAUAGGGAUGGGCUGGCAGAUUGUGUGGAACUUUGAAGACUACUGUCAGAACUUUGGCUUUGACUCUGAGUGGGGCCACUGGAGAGUUUUGAGCCAAGGACUGUCAUACUCUGACUUACAUUUUUGAAAGGCUAUUAUUUUGCAACUAGAUUAUGAGGGGCAAGGACUGAUAGGAGACGAUUGUAAGGGACAUGGAUGGAGUUGGAAGCCAUUAUCCUCAGCAAACUAAUGCAGGAACCAAAAUCCAAACACUGCAUGUUCUCACUUAUAAGUGGGAGCUGAAUAAUGAGAACACAUGGACACAUGGGUGGGAACUACACACUCUGGGGCCUGUCGGGGAGAGUGGGGGGAGGGAGAGCACCAGGAAGAAUAACUAAUGGAUUCUGGGCUUAAUACAUAGGUGAUGGGACAUGGCACACGUUUACCUAUGUAACAAACCUGCACAUCCUGCGCAUGUACCCCUGAGCUUAAAAUAAAAGUUGAAGAAGAAACAAGCAAACCGCUAGUUGCAGAAUUCUCAAUAUGGACUGGGCACUUCUGAGUGGGUAGUUUGGAAUUUUCCUAAGUUGAAUCCUAAAAUGACCUCUGAUCGAUCAACAUAAUUAAUGAGCUCCUUGCUGUGUGCCCAGCACUGCCAGUAGCUGCUUUAAGGGCCAUAGAUGUAAAAUCACAUUUCAUGCUCUCAUUGAGAAGGCAAUCUAGCUGUGCUGACAAUGCUGACUUCUGUGGAACAAUAGUGGAUAUGACAAGCCAGAAUAUAACAAGAUGUGGAGAAAGUGGUGUGCAAACUCUAAGACCUGCUGGACCAAAGAGCUGAAUGAAUGAGGAAAGCUAGGAUGCAAACAUGUGAAUAUAAUAUUUUCAACAAAACAGAACAAAAAAAGUGUUAAGAAAUCUUGAGCUUUGGAGCCAGACCAUCUUAAUUCAAAUUUCAACUUUGCCACUGAUUGUUCAUGUGAUCUCAGACUAGUUACAUAAUUUUAUGUGCCUCAGUUCCUUCAGCUAUAAAAAGGGAUAUUCAUAGUACCAACCUUUUAGGGUUGUUUUGAGGCUUAAAUGAGUUAAUGUUUCAAAGAGCUUAGGAUAGGCCUAGGCUCUGCCAAUCAGACAUAAACAUGAAACUUUAAUUCAAAUAUGAGACAGCAACUGACUCUGGAUCUGUAAAGACAUCCAACUUUUACCCUAGUCACAAGAUCAAAAUGGAAUUGGUACUGGUGGGAGGAGUGGCUACAGAAUAGUCUAGUUCCAGGGAUUUAUAUGUUGUUUCCCCAUUGAAUUAGUUCUGUGUGAUUUUGGGCAUUAUUCCUGAAAGCUUCAGUUCUAAUCUGUUUUUCCAGCUAGUUCAAUAAUUCUGAGGGCAAAUGUGUCUUUUAAAAACCUCCCCACCAUCAUUUUCCCUCUAAACUAUAUAGAGUGGAUACAGUGGAUUCUGUUGUUCCCAAUUAAGAAGUGUGGCUGAUAUAAAUGUGGUAUGGUUUCAGGGAUGCAAAGAAAGGCCUUUUGGACAAUUUUUUAUGUCUGGAAUUGUAGCAUCUGGGAAUUUUCUCUAAUGCUUUUAUGUUGAUAUGCAAACCCUGGAAGGAAGGUGUCAUAUACAGAGUUUUUAAUUAUUUUUGUGUAAAGUGCUUUAUUUGGAGCUGGAGUGGGGGCACACUAAUUUGGAUUCCUGUCUAAGCAGCUUGAGUCUGGAAUGAGAAGUGAGAUCUGUUCUGAUUAAUUUUUCUCCUUCCUUGUUCUCCAGAGUUGGGCAACAUUACAUUGUUUUGUCAUCUCACAUUUCCAAGGUUGCCUGAUAAUAACCAGAACUUGUUUUUGCCUUAAAAUGUUUCACAUUCUUUCCCCUGGGUGACACAUAAGAUUUACAUAAUUUCCAUAUUUGUCUGAUUCACUUAGGCUAAAUCAUUCAGUAGAUCCAAGAAAUACCUUUGAUGUCAUGAUUUGGAGCAUACCCACAUCCAUCUGAAAAAUGUUCAGUGGUCAUUGGCAGAAUUAGAAAAAAACUACUUUAAAUUUCAUAUGGAACCAAAAAGAGAGCCCUUAUAGCCAAGACAAUCCUUAUCCAAAAAAAAUAAAUAAAUAAAAAAGAAAGCUGGAGUCAUCAAGCUACCUGAUUUCAAACUAUACUACAAGGCAAGAGUAACCAAAACAGCAUGAUACUGGUACCAAAACAGAGAUAUAGACCAAUGGAACAGAACUGUGGCCUCAGAAAUAAAACCACACAUCUACAACCAUCUGAUCUUCGACAAACCUGACAAAAACAAUCAAUGGGGAAAGGAUUCCCUGUUUAAUAAAUGGUACUGGGAAAACUGGCUAGCCACAUGCAGAAAGCAGAAAUUGGACCCCUUCCUUACACCUUAUACAAAAAUUAACUCACGAUAGGUUAAAGACUUAAAUGUAAAACGCCAUAAAAACCCUAGAAGGAAACCUAUGCCAUACCAUUCAGGACAUAGGCGUGGGCAAAGACUUCAUGACUAAAAGGCCAAAAGCAAUUACAGCAAAAGCCAAAAUUGACAAAUGGGAUCUAAUUCAACCAUAGAGCUUUUGCACAGCAAAACAAACUGUCAUUAGAGUGAACAGGCAACCUGCAGAAUGGGAGAAAAUUUUUGCAAUCUAUCCAUCUGACAAAGGGCUAAGAUCCAGGAUCUGCAAGGAACUUAAACAAAUUUACAAGAAAAAAACAACCCUAUCCAAAAGUGGGCAAAGAUAUGAACAGACACUUCUCAAAAAAAGACAUUUAUGUGGCCAAAAAACAUAUGAAGAAAAGCUCAUCAUCACUGGUCAUUAGAGAAAUGCAAAUCAAAACCACAGUGAGAUAUCAUCUCAAGCCAGUUAGAAUGGGGAUCAUUAAAAAGUCAGGAAACAACAGAUGCUGGAGAGGAUGUGGAUAAAUAAGAACACUUUUACACAGUUGGUGGGAGUGUAAAUUAGCUUAACCAUUGUGGAAGACAGUGUGGCAAUUCCUCAACGGUCUAGAACCAGAAAUUCCAUUUGACCCAGCAAUCCCAUUACUGGGUUUAUACCCAAAAGACUAUAAAUUAUUCUACUAUAAAGGCACAUGCACAUGUGUGUGUAUUGCAGCACUAUUUACAAUAGUAAAGACUUGGAACCAACCCAAAUGCCCAUCAAUGAUAGACAGGAUAAGGAAAAUGUGGCACAUAUACACCAUGGAAUAGUAUGCAGCCAUAAAAAAGAAUGAGUUCAUGUCCUUUGCAGGGACAUGGAUGAAGCUGGAAACCAUCAUUCUCAGCAAACUAACACAGGAACAGAAAACCAAACACCACAUAUUCUCACUCGUGGAUACUCUCAGUUUCUCUUCUUCUACUUUUAAUACCUGGGUAAUAAGAACAAAGAGGACCUAUUCCAGACAGUUCAAGGGGAGGUUUUCUCCUAAUGGUUUCUUACAUUGUGCAGAAUGGAGGCAACAAAGUCUACAGAGAAUACUGGGGAAAACAGAGCGCUGGACUUCAGUCCUCUCUGUAUAUAGGGAAUGGUCUCUAGAUGCUCAUGGUUUCAACGAAUUUUAGUAUACCACAGUACUCAUUUCUACUCUCUAGCUCCCUGACUUCCAGAGAGAGCUACAUGCUUGAUUUCUAAUAAUGCUUUCAGUAUAAGAGAGAAGAAAAUAAUGCAGGGUUAAUUGCUGAGGUAUUCUGGGAUCACCUUUCAGUCAUAUAUCUGGCAUUUGCCCUAGAACCUUAAAUCCUUGUGGAGAGAGAGUUUUUGGAUAAACUGUACUAGCACAAUGUCUAUAGAAACAUUUGUUCUCUUCUUGCAUCUUCCUAAACUCUAAGGGUUAUUCCUAAGAGUGGAAUAUAGCUACAUUUUCUCCCUCAUAUUUUAAUGAAAAUAUAUUAAUGAUUAACCUGCUAUACUUUGCUAUUUUAUUCACUUUUUAUGUACAGUAGAUUCAGGUUUUCCUAAGGGGUUGGAAGCACUCUGCUUGGAUGAAGCUAUUUGGCAUGAUAGUCCUGAACCACUACGAAGUCACAGAAUCAAGAAGAUUAGGGCUUCAAGGAACCUUAGAGACUACUAGACAAACCACUCUCCUUCACAGAAGAGGAAACCAGGGCCCACAGGAGGCCCUCAUUGAAAUGUAUUUGAUAGGCUGGGUGCAGUGGCUCACACCUGUAAUCCAAGGACUUUGGAGGCUGAGGCAGGAGGAUCACUUGAGGCCAAGAGUUCGAGACUAGCCUGGGCAACAUAAUGAGACCUUAUAUCUACAAAAAAUUAUCAAAUUGGCUGGGUGUGGUAGCACACACCUGUAGUACUAGCUACUUGGGAGGCUGAGAACAUUUGUCUAUAUCUCUGCUCAUGUUACAUAGCAGAGAAGUUUUAAAAAGUGUUUUGGCCAUCUCUCAGUUCAUCAGAGAGCUCCAUUAGCUAAGAGAACAUAAUGCACAAUUUUCUUAUAGGUUUAUUUCCUAUUAUCUGUUUCUCCCUACUAGAAUAUAAGCUCUGGGAGGUGCCUGGAUAUCCCUUUAAGGAAGGCUUGCUCUACCUUUUUCUCCUUUUAAAAAACAAAAACCAAACAACGAUAACAACACUAUUUUUGGGCUUAAAUCACAUGAUUUAAGACCUCAAACUCACCACAAUGGAGGAACCAUAUACUUGUAUGCCUCUUUUCUAUUUAACCCGACGGAUUUCCAGAUUCACUCUCCAAACACACCUUUUUUUAUUAUCCUCAUUCAUCUUUCAAAUUCCCAGUUAUUUCUAUUAUGUGCUUACCAAUAAAGACUAUUGUGAAAUGAAGGAUGAAGGGUCUUUGGAGAGAUGAGGACUUGUUCUCCUUAAUAUUCUUCCAUUCCUUUGACAACGAAAUUAUCCUGAAAAUGAACUGUCAUUAUGAUACCUGUGGAAGCAGAAAAGUCUAAAACAACACUCAAGAUGGCUGUUUGGGAGAAUAUUCUUGAUAAGCUAUGCUAGAAUAUAGGUCAGAUCAGCUAUAUAAAUAUCUAAGACAAUGCUUUCAGGCACUAAAUGCUACUCAUAAAAAAUUAAGUGGAAUUUAGAGUGGUUUUAAAAUUUAUUACAAAUGACAAAUUGAAAAAUAAGCCAAAUGGGAAUAUAGAUUUUAUUUCUAUAUUUAGUGUAGGAAAGUCAUAGGAAUCCCUUGGCCAGUGAUUGUGGAAAAUUUAGUUUUGGAGCUGUAAGUGUUGAAAUUCCCAUGGUAUUAAAUUAUUUUGAUGAGUUCAAAAAUAUCCUAAAUAAUUAAAGGAAACAUGUUAUUAACUGUUUUUAACACUACUAGAGUAGGUGGUUUCAGAUAAUUUUUAUGCUAAUGGUUUUCUCUCCUAGAUCUAAUUUAAUGGUCUGGAAUGUUCUCCAUUUGACCACCUGUCUCGAUGGAAUGAAGUCAACUAGUUUGCCUACUCCUGCUUUUUAUCUUCCAGUGUAGAUAUGAAGAAUAAGAAGAAGAGAUUUUAAAAUGUAGUGAUGAUUAUACUAAUAUAUUUAAGUGUAUCUCCAAGUAUUUUUAAGUAUGUCUUUGGCUAAAAAUGAGAACUUGUAUUUUUAAUUCAAUGAAGGGGUCUAUACUAAUUAGAAAACCAUUUUUUGGUGGGGAGAAAAGAGCAGUUAUUACACAUUUGCGCAAUUUGUUAUCUUCUAAAUAAAUUCAUAAUCUUAUGUAGCAUUCAUACAUUAUUAAUAAAUUUCAGGACUUUU